rnacentral:rRNA from 1 species
UACGGAGGGUGCAAGCGUUAUCCGGAUUCACUGGGUUUAAAGGGUGCGUAGGUGGGCAGGUAAGUCAGUGGUGAAAUCUCCGAGUUUAACUCGGAAACUGCCAUUGAUACUAUUUGUCUUGAAUAUCCUGGAGGUGAGCGGAAUAUGUCAUGUAGCGGUGAAAUGCUUAGAUAUGACAUAGAACACCAAUUGCGAAGGCAGCUCACUACGGGAUAAUUGACGCUGAGGCACGAAAGCGUGGGGAUCAAACAGG